rnacentral:rRNA from 1 species
GCUGGCGGCGUGCCUCAGACAUGCAAGUCGAACGCGAAAGUCCCCUUCGGGGGGCAAGUAGAGUGGCGCACGGGUGAGUAACACGUAGGUAAUCUACCUUUGGAUUGGGAAUAACCACCGGAAACGGUGGCUAAUACCGAAUAAUGCAGCGGCACCUAAUGGUGACAGUUGUUAAAGCGGGGGAUCGCAAGACCUCGCGUCUGAAGAGGAGCCUGCGGCAGAUUAGCUAGUUGGUAAGGUAACGGCUUACCAAGGCGAUGAUCUGUAGCCGGCCUGAGAGGGCGGUCGGCCACACUGACACUGACAUACGGGUCAGACUCCUACGGGAGGCAGCAGUCGGGAAUUUUGGGCAAUGGGCGAAAGCCUGACCCAGCAACGCCGCGUGAAGGAUGAAAUCCUUCGGGAUGUAAACUUCGCAAGAACGGGAAGAAUAAGUAAGAGUUAACAUCUCUUACGAUGACGGUACUGUUUGUAAGCUCCGGCUAACUCCGUGCCAGCAGCCGCGGUAAUACGGGGGGAGCAAGCGUUGUUCGGAUUUACUGGGCGUAAAGGGCGCGUAGGCGGCACCGCAAGUCGACUGUGAAAUCUCCGGGCUUAACCCGGAAAGGUCA